rnacentral:rRNA from 1 species
UACAGAGGUCUCAAGCGUUGUUCGGAUUCAUUGGGCGUAAAGGGUGCGUAGGUGGCGCCGUAAGUCAGGUGUGAAAUUUCGGAGCUUAACUCCGAAACUGCAUUUGAUACUGCGGUGCUUGAGGACUGGAGAGGAGACUGGAAUUUGACGGUGUAGCAGUGAAAUGCGUAGAGAUCGUAAGGAAGACCAGUGGCGAAGGCGGGUCUCUGGACAGUUCCUGACACUGAGGCACGAAGGCCAGGGGAGCAAACGGG